AAAGGUAUUUGCGGGCUAUGAUGAUAAUAUUCUGAACCUGCUCUGAUACCAUGUAGAAUUGUAUAAUUGUUUGAUAUAUUAUUCACAAUGAGAUGAUACAUCAUAUAUAGGCCAAGGGAGAACUAUACACGAAUAUUCUUUGAUCUCCAACAAAUCAAUGGUGUUAAAUCCAACAUUUGUGACAUGGCAAAGGCAAGAUAGAAGAGUAUGCCUUGACCUUGGUGGUAGGGCUCAGAUCUGCAAGAGAUAUCUGGACAACACUGGAGACCAACUUUGCAAGCCGCUCAACGGCCAAGAAUCUCAUAAGGAGAACAAGUGCUACACAUCUUGGGAGAUCUGGGUCAAGAGUAUGAUCCAGUGACCUCAAGGUCAGAUCCAUGGAGCAUUGGAGAUGUCAGUGCCUUUCUGCUAAGUUUUGAGUCUAGAAUGGAAUCAACUAGAGCUCACUCCAUCAGCUCAGAUAGCAGCCAUCACUCAAUCUAGUUUUUCGGACAGAAAAUGGAUCAGCAAAACUUUGGCAACAACAAGUUUGAGCAUGGAGGUGGAAGUGGCUUUAGAGGAAGAAACCAAAGAGGUGACCGUGGUGUAAGAAGCUUUGGUAGAGGAGGCAACAAAAUUUUUUGCCAGUUGUGUCAGAAACCUGCCAUUCUGCAGCUAAGUACUGGCACAGGUUCGAGCAGAACUACACACCAGCUCAGUUCAGUUUAGAGAAAAUUCUCCACCACAACAACAGCAACAACAGAGCUUCUUUAAUCCUUCAGCUCACCUGAUUCAAUCUGUUCCAAGAUCCCCUUUAGGUUCUUUCUCUGUUGCACCAUCAGAGUUCAACUAUAGACCAAAUGCCUCUUCAAGUUGGUAUCCAGAUUCAGGAGCCACUCAUCAUGUAUCAAAUGAUUUGAGCAACCUCUACAAAGCUUAGAGUAUACA